rnacentral:rRNA from 1 species
AAUAUUGGACAAUGGGGGCAACCCUGACCCAGCCAUGCCGCGUGUGUGAAGAAGGUCUUCGGAUUGUAAAGCACUUUAAGCCGGGAGGAAGGGCUUUAGGCUAAUACCCUGAAGUUUUGACGUUACCAACAGAAUAACAACCGGCUAACUCCGUACCAGCAGCCGCGGUAAUACAGGGGGUGCAAGCGUUCAUCGGAAUUACUGGGCGUAAAGCGCGCGUAGGUGGUUCAGUAAGAUGGGUGUGAAAUCCCCGGGCUUAACCUGGGAACUGCUUUCAUGACUGCUGAGCUAGAGUACGGUAGAGGGUAGUGGAAUUUCCUGUGUAGCGGUGAGAUGCGUAGAUAUAGGAAGGAACACCAGUGGCGAAGGCGACUACCUGGACUGAUACUGACACUGAGGUGCGAAAGCGUGGGGAGCAAAC